rnacentral:rRNA from 1 species
UGGCCUUGAAUUGUAGUCUCGAGACGGAUUGCCAACGGAGGCGCAGAUGCAAGCCUCUUGGAAAAGAGCAUCAACGAGGGUGAGAGUCCCGUUUGUCAUCUGCAGCCCCCCGUGCACGGCAUUCGUUCUAAGAGUCACGUUCCUCGGGAUUGGAGCGCAAAGUGGGUGGUAAAUUUCAUCUAAAGCUAAAUAUUGGUUCGAGACCGAUAGCAAACAAGUACCAUGAGGGAAAGAUGAAAAGGACUUUGAAAAGAGAGUUAAAAGUGCCUGAAAUUGCUGAAAGGGAACCGAAUGGAACCAGUGGAUCUUGGCCAGAUUGCUGGGUGCUACUACAGCGCAAGCGUUCCUGCACGUUUGGAGCAUCUUGCCUUGCGUGUGUUCUUCGUGUGGGCUGGCAGGAGGACAAAAUGGUUUUAUUGGACCCGUCUUNNNACNCGGACCAAGGAGUCUAACAUAUGUGCGAGUUCACGGGCGGUUAAACCUGCUUGCGCAAUGAAAGUGACUGCUGGGAUAUUUGCACCAGCAACCGACCGAUCAACUGUGUGAGGUUUGAGUAUGAGCAUAUCUGUUAGGACCCGAAAGAUGGUGAACUAUGCCUGCGAAGGGUGAAGUCAGGGGAAACUCUGAUGGAGGCUCGUAGCGAUACUGACGUGCAAAUCGUUCGUCAUACGUGGUAUAGG